rnacentral:rRNA from 1 species
GAUGAACGCUGGCGGCGUGCCUAAUACAUGCAAGUCGAGCGAACGGACGAGAAGCUUGCUUCUCUGAUGUUAGCGGCGGACGGGUGAGUAACACGUGGAUAACCUACCUAUAAGACUGGGAUAACUUCGGGAAACCGGAGCUAAUACCGGAUAAUAUUUUGAACCGCAUGGUUCAAAAGUGAAAGACGGUCUUGCUGUCACUUAUAGAUGGAUCCGCGCUGCAUUAGCUAGUUGGUAAGGUAACGGCUUACCAAGGCAACGAUGCAUAGCCGACCUGAGAGGGUGAUCGGCCACACUGGAACUGAGACACGGUCCAGACUCCUACGGGAGGCAGCAGUAGGGAAUCUUCCGCAAUGGGCGAAAGCCUGACGGAGCAACGCCGCGUGAGUGAUGAAGGUCUUCGGAUCGUAAAACUCUGUUAUUAGGGAAGAACAUAUGUGUAAGUAACUGUGCACAUCUUGACGGUACCUAGUCAGAAAGCCACGGCUAACUACGUGCCAGCAGCCGCGGUAAUACGUAGGUGGCAAGCGUUAUCCGGAAUUAUUGGGCGUAAAGCGCGCGUAGGCGGUUUUUUAAGUCUGAUGUGAAAGCCCACGGCUCAACCGUGGAGGGUCAUUGGAAACUGGAAAACUUGAGUGCAGAAGAGGAAAGUGGAAUUCCAUGUGUAGCGGUGAAAUGCGCAGAGAUGUGGAGGAACACCAGUGGCGAAGGCGACUUUCUGGUCUGUAACUGACGCUGAUGUGCGAAAGCGUGGGGAUCAAACAGGAUUAGAUACCCUGGUAGUCCACGCCGUAAACGAUGAGUGCUAAGUGUUAGGGGGUUUCCGCCCCUUAGUGCUGCAGCUAACGCAUUAAGCACUCCGCCUGGGGAGUACGACCGCAAGGUUGAAACUCAAAGGAAUUGACGGGGACCCGCACAAGCGGUGGAGCAUGUGGUUUAAUUCGAAGCAACGCGAAGAACCUUACCAAAUCUUGACAUCCUUUGACAACUCUAGAGAUAGAGCCUUCCCCUUCGGGGGACAAAGUGACAGGUGGUGCAUGGUUGUCGUCAGCUCGUGUCGUGAGAUGUUGGGUUAAGUCCCGCAACGAGCGCAACCCUUAAGCUUAGUUGCCAUCAUUAAGUUGGGCACUCUAAGUUGACUGCCGGUGACAAACCGGAGGAAGGUGGGGAUGACGUCAAAUCAUCAUGCCCCUUAUGAUUUGGGCUACACACGUGCUACAAUGGACAAUACAAAGGGCAGCGAAACCGCGAGGUCAAGCAAAUCCCAUAAAGUUGUUCUCAGUUCGGAUUGUAGUCUGCAACUCGACUACAUGAAGCUGGAAUCGCUAGUAAUCGUAGAUCAGCAUGCUACGGUGAAUACGUUCCCGGGUCU